GACGAACGCUGGCGGCGUGCUUAACACAUGCAAGUCGAACGGAAAGGCCCUGCUUUUGUGGGGUGCUCGAGUGGCGAAAGGGUGAGUAACACGUGAGUAACCUGCCCUUGACUUUGGGAUAACUUCAGGAAACUGGGGCUAAUACCGGAUAGGAGCUCCUGCUGCAUGGUGGGGGUUGGAAAGUUUCGGCGGUUGGGGAUGGACUCGCGGCUUAUCAGCUUGUUGGUGGGGUAGUGGCUUACCAAGGCUUUGACGGGUAGCCGGCCUGAGAGGGUGACCGGCCACAUUGGGACUGAGAUACGGCCCAGACUCCUACGGGAGGCAGCAGUGGGGAAUAUUGCACAAUGGGCGGAAGCCUGAUGCAGCAGCGCCGCGUGCGGGAUGACGGCCUUCGGUUUGUAAACCGCUUUCGCCUGUGACGAAGCGUGAGUGACGGUAAUGGGUAAAGAAGCACCGGCUAACUACGUG
rnacentral:rRNA from 1 species